UUUUUUCUUUUCCUAGUGCUCUAGUUUGAUUUUUUUAAUAAUGGAGAUUUUAAGUUAAAUUGAAUAGAUGAAAUCUCACUCUCUGCAUGCCUCUCUUAUCUAUUCACAGAGGCUAUUCCGAUUUCCUUAUUGGUGGUGAUGAAAUUUUUCAGUGCCUAAAAUUCAAUAUUUACUGAUGUUCUUUUAUUAUCAGCCCGGAAAUCUGAUUCCUCUCCACUGCCCUUCUUCUAUUGCUCCUGAAAUCCCUGUGCCAACAGUGUGGUGAAAAGUCUUUUGACCAGUUUAAGUUUCACCAAACUGUGGUAUUGAUUUUUUUUUCCAGAAACCUCAUCUCUCACCUUAAAUUAGCAUUCAAUAAAGCAAUGUUUUGGAAAACUUAAGAAAAUAUAGAAGAAAAAUGUGUUCUUAAUGUUUUAGUUCUAGCCAAGCCAAUAUCAGACAAAUUCUUUGUGCCAUAAUUACUUCUCCUAGGACCACAAAAGGAAGAACGAAUGGAAAUAAAUUGGAGAAAAAAAUGAAAUUGGAAAGAAGGCUGUCUUAUUAUACAUAUCACAGACACGUCAGGUUUCAGUGCUUCAAAUUUAGAAAAAGAUAAAUAUCACUUGCUCUCGCUAAAACAUGUAGAACAAAAAUAAUGAGCUCAUGUCUAUAAAAGCGCCAUAGAAUAGAAAAAAUUAUUAGAACUCUUUUUAUAACUGGUCUUUAAUAAAUUAUCACUGCAUUUUAAAAGCAAACUUAUUUCAGUGCUGUGGUCAUGUAACUCUUUUAAUUGAUAACUAGUUUAAUAAACGUUUAUUGCCUGCUAUGUGCCAUGUAAUAAGGAAUAAAUCUAAAUCUCCAUGGACUUACAUUUUACUGAAGGAAACUAGACAAUAAAGAUACAUUUGUAAAUGCAUAUAGUAGGUCAAAUGGUAGAAAGUUCUCUAUGAAAAAUAGUUCACUCCUGUAAUCCCACAGCAUUUUGGGAGGCCAAGGUGGGUGGAUUCCCUGAGGUCAGGAGUUCAAGACCAGUCUGGUCAAUAUGGUGAAACCUUGUCUCUACUAAUAAUACAAAAAAAUUAGCUGGGUGUGGUGGCACACCCUUGUAGUCCCAGCUACUUGAGAGGCUAAGGCAGGAGAAUCGCUUGAUUCUGGGAGGCAGAGGUUGCAGUGAGCCGAGACCACGCCACUGCACUCCAGCCUGCGACAGAGCAAGACUCUGCCUCGAAAAAAAAAAAAGAAAAAGCAGAUAGAAGGUAAAGGUAUAAGCCAUUCUAUAGAUAGCUUGUAAGGGAAAACUAACUGAGACAUUUUGAGCACACAAGAAAAAGGACGAGGCUCACAGGUAUUUUGAGGAAAAGCAUUCCAGGAAGAGUGAAUGGCAAGUACAAAGGCCCAGAAAGGGCAGAGUUGUUGAUGUACAUGAACAACAGUGGCUGGGGCAAAUUUAGAAAGGGUGAGAGGAAAUGGGUUAGAAGAAGUAUACGGUAUUGAGUGGCAAGAUAAAAUUGUGUUUUGUAAGCCAUAGUAUAGACUUUGCAUUGACUCCUGAAUGUGGCAGGGAGCUUUAGGGGGUUGCACACAAAACUGUGAUCU
rnacentral:lncRNA from 1 species